GGCCUUCUGUAAAAUGGACACAAGGAAAGCAGCUAAAAACUAGAGGAAGUCAACACAACUAAGGAUAACAUCAGAAGACUAUUACAUUUCUUCUGCAAGUAAAUAAAAAAUCUACACGAUUUUUAUCUCAGUGGACGUGUGUGAAGGAGAUGUAAGCUCCACUAUUUUGAUCCGAUUAUAAAAGAUUCGAGAGAUGGAAGAUAAGCGACAAUAAUCGAAUGCAAAUCCAGUUAGUCAAGCCUCGUAACCAAUUACUUAACUAGAAGGCCUCAUCAGUGAAAGACUGGUGAACACUGGCAAUCCGCCCCAGGUUGGAAUCCCUCCAAAUGGGCUAGCUGCUUGGGGUUGACAUGAUUUUUCUCCGGUCUAAUAUGAAUAUCAGCCGAUUUCAACAGACAGAACAGAGAGCAGCACGUGACAGCAGGUGAAGUCGGUCCCUUGUUUACGAAGGGCCAUCCAUCUCCGAGCGUGACUCCGCCCCGGACGACCUUGGAGCUCUACGACCUGUGACAGCGAACACCCCUCAUCGCCCAAUGGCUGGUUGCCGCGUCACGACCAGGCGGAGCGACCGGCGCGCCGCUCCUCGCUCGAUGAUCGUUCGGCUCUCCCCUGUCUUCACAACACGCGGCGUCGCUCGCCGAGUUGAGAUGUUCUUACACCGAUGGCUAGUUCGAGCCCGUACCUCUCGUCCACCGGCUUGGUGAACGCACUUGCCAGCGGUCCCGACAGCCCAGGAAUGCAGGUCGCUACUUCGCAGGCCGCCUACGCCCGAGAGCCUCCUGAGAUGAAAUAUAUGCCGCCCCAGCACCAGAGUCACAACGGACAUCAUGCGCUUGCACCGCAGCACCACUGGGUCAGCUUGCCGCCCCAUAACGAUGCUUGGUCGGCAGCAAUGCCCCCGCCUGGGCUUCAUGCUGCUCAGGAUGUGAAGCCUCCAGAUUUGCACAGCGUCCACCAUCGUCCACCCCAACACAUGGCUGCAUCUCAUCCAUGGCACCAUUCGUCUCUUGCUUCUUCGCACAUGUCCGGCAUGGGAGGCCAUGGUGGUAAUGGAGCAUCACCCCACCAUCACCUACAGCACUAUGGCAUGAAUGGCAUGCUAGGAGGUCAUGGUUCCCAGCUGCAUCCAGCAAUGAGAGAAAUGCAACAUGCGGAGCAUCCACACCACCACCACCACCAUCACCAUCCUCACGAAGAGCAUCCACAUCCAAUGGAUCAUCCACAUAGACAUCCUGAUGACUGCGGGCCAUUAGGUGGUGGUGAAGAGGCACCUAGUUCGGACGAUCUAGAGCAAUUCGCAAAACAGUUCAAACAGCGUCGCAUCAAGCUCGGUUUCACGCAAGCAGAUGUCGGACUGGCCUUGGGCACUUUAUAUGGAAAUGUAUUCAGUCAAACUACUAUCUGCAGGUUUGAGGCCCUGCAGCUCAGUUUCAAAAACAUGUGCAAACUGAAACCAUUACUGGCUAAAUGGCUGGAAGAAGCAGACAGUACUACGGGUUCCCCAACCUCCAUAGAUAAGAUAGCCGCCCAGGGGCGGAAAAGGAAGAAGAGAACGAGUAUCGAAGUGUCUGUGAAAGGAGCUCUAGAGAAUCAUUUCCACAAACAACCUAAGCCAGCGGCUCAAGAGAUUGCCAGUUUAGCGGACAGUCUUCAGCUAGAGAAAGAGGUGGUUAGGGUCUGGUUUUGCAAUCGUCGCCAGAAGGAAAAACGUAUGACACCUCCCAUGAAUAUGGGUGGUGGGGGUGGCCAAAUGCCGCCUGGAGGUGAUGGCGGACUCAUGAUGGGGGGAUCUCCCCUGCACGCGCACAGCCCCAACAACCUCAUGCAAUCGCCACCACCGCCUCCGCAUUCCAUGGCGGCGGCCCACUGACCCGUGGCCGGGGCCGCGGACUCCGUCCAUCACUACGCCGGCCAGCCGACGGACGACCUCCCGCCUGACCGCGAGCCCCUACCGACGACUACACAGUUUUUCUUCUCGCUCCUCAGAGGUUCCGCCCUGGAACCUGCCUCGUACAAGUGUACAUGAAUUCGAAUACUAUUUUUUUUUUCCUUCAUUCCGAUAGACCAUUUUGAAUACUGAAUCUCUCUGGAAGAGAAGAGAGCGGAAAGAAAAAACAAAAAAACAAAUAAACUUCAUGAUCUUUUUUGUGUGCCAAUCUUCGGUCCUCUUUUUUUGUACAGAAGGGGCGGCUUCGAGCAAAAUGAUCCUCAACCCCCUCGUUUUCAGUGUAUGGCAUCGGACCUAAAUCACUGCGGUGACAUCCACCUCACAAAGGUUAGAAAACAAAGUUCCUCAUUCCACUGGCCAAGAACACUGCCAGAACGUCUCUGAGAAACAAGUAGUCAAUCUACUCAGUGUCAUCAAAUGCUGUGUUGCUUGUUUUACUGCUCAUUUUUACUUCAUCUAAAGACAUUUCCAAGGGCCUGCAUUUCAGUUCAUGAACUACAUAGUUUCGUCCCCCUUCUGUUUUUGUUUUCGCCUUUUUUUUUAAACUCUUUGAGCACUCACGCCAAGCAGGCUUAUCUUAUUCUAUGUUCUAAACGGCGGUGAAUUUUCUACAAGUGAAUGUGUGGCUACAGAUAAUUUGGAUAAUGUCUCAAUACAAAAGAUUAAUUGCUGGAUCCAGUCCAAGAGUUUUAUGUUUUCUUUUUUGGAAUAUUUAAAAGUUGUGAUAUUUAUGAGUUCGUGCAGUUUUACUUAUUCUAUUAAUAAGUACUACUCUAUAUAAAUAGUAACUAAAAUUUAUGUAUGUAACAUAGUAUUUUACUGUAAAAUUAUAUAUAUCCAUGGUACUAAAACUAUUGAAAAAUUAAAAAAUAAAAAAAUAAACUCGAAAUAUUUCAUUAUGAAACAGAUACUACCCUUCAAAUAAUAUAAUAUUAUCAAGAAAUUUUUAAAUAUUCCCUGCAGAUGGAUCGUUUUUUGUAAAGAUGCAUAUAGGAAAUUUACUAAUAUAGCAUAUAUUACUAAUAUUGCAUAUAGGAAAUUUACAUUUAUUUGCAUAAAAAUAUUGAGGGAAACGAAUUUAAAAUGAAACGCAUUUUAAGGCUGAAUUCACGUCAAAAUUAAUAUUUGUACAUUAAUAUCCUGAGAAUAUUUAAACGUAGAUGAAAUGGCACAUAAUUAGAAUUAACUGCACUACUUGUUACCAUUACUUGCGGUGAAAUACUUCAGUUGUGUAAAAUUUCUUUUUUUUUGGUAUAUGAGUUUUUGAUAGGGAAUAUUUAUUUUCCUCCUUAUUAAUUUUAAAUAAGUUGUAAAGAUACGGAGGUUGAAAUAUUUAUAAAACUUAUAUAUGUCAGUUUUAAACUUACUGCAUUCCUUCUUUAGCUCCUAUUUUU